rnacentral:rRNA from 1 species
GACGAACGCUGGCGGCGUGCUUAACACAUGCAAGUCGAACGGUAAGGCCCUUCGGGGUACACGAGUGGCGAACGGGUGAGUAACACGUGGGUGAUCUGCCCUGCACUUCGGGAUAAGCCUGGGAAACUGGGUCUAAUACCGGAUAGGACUCCUGGCUUCAUGGUUGGGGGUGGAAAGCUUUUGCGGUGUGGGAUGGGCCCGCGGCCUAUCAGCUUGUUGGGGGGGUAAUGGCCUAUCAAGGCGACGACGGGUAGCCGGCCUGAGAGGGUGACCGGUGCAACGGGGACUGAGAUACGGCCCAGACUCAUACGGGAGGCAGGAGUGUGGAAUAUUGCACAAUGGGCGCAAGCCUGAUGCAGCGACGCCGCGUGAGGGAUGACGGCCUUCGGGUUGUAAACCUCUUUCAGCUAUGACGAAACGCAAGUGACGGUAGUAGAAGAAGAAGGACCGGCCAACUACGUGCCAGCCGCCGCAGUAA